rnacentral:lncRNA from 1 species
CAGAGGCCAUGGAGGGAUGUUACUUAUUGGCUUGCUUCCCCUGGUUUGCUCAGCUUACUUUCUUGUAGAAUCCAAGACUACCAGCCCAGGGAUGGCACCACCCACAAUGGGCCCUCCUUCCUUGAUCACUAAUUGAGAAAAUGCCUUACAGCUGGAUCUCAUGGAGGCAUUUUUCUCAAGGGAGGCUCCUUUCCCUAUAAUAACUCCAGCUUGUGUCAAGUUGACACACAAAACCAGCCAGUACAGGCUCAUAGGAUAACUGAUGGAUUUGAUGGAAUAUGAAGAACUGGGGUGGUCAGGAGGGAAGGGAGGAAGUAAGGAUACUCAGGUUUACCUGAUGGCAGCUCUCAGGUCAGCUCCCACUUAGCUAUUUCCACAUUUUUACUGAUAGCUUCAAGACUGGAUAUUGAGGCAUCCCAAGCUCUGCGGGAAGGUUGUUACCAGGGGCAGGACUCAGCUGGCUCUGUGCCAUCUCAGUCUCCAGAAUGGUCCAGUGGGAGAUGGUUGCCAGGUCAGGAUGCUAAGGGUAAUGAAAAAGAAGGCUUCUGGGGACAUUUCAUGGGUUAGCCCUAGGGGGUGCCCGGACCAGUCUGAUCUAAUUGUAUUUGUCAGGGUUCUGUAGAUCAGAACCUGAUAAAAUCACUGUUUCUAUUUAAAGAUAGUUGAUUAAAUUAGCUUAUGUAAUAUGGAUGGACACAUCCAGCAAUGAUUUUCAGGAACCAGAGACAAGAACAUGAAAGUUGCUCAGCCUACAAGGCCUGUAAGAUUUCUGAAACUUGCAGGUCUUCUGUCUACCCUGGAAACCCAAGAAGCUGGUACGAGAAUCAGUGAAGGAAUAAGUAACAGCAGCAGCAGCAGAGUAGAUGACCUCACUACUAGUGAAGGCCAGGCCAACAAAGACACAUUUUUUAAAAAUUAAAAAAUACCCUCCCUUUUUCCAUCCUUUAUCUGGGCUUCUGUAAGAAAGUGACCAAUAUGUAGGGAUGAAUCUUCCUAUACCAAUCAAAGUAGUCAGGAUGACCCCUCCCCCCACCCCAUAUACAUGCCCAUAAACUGACUCAAUAUAGACAACCUUGCAUUGAGACUCUCGGGACUCCUACAGCUUGUGUUCUGAAUUAUCUUUUGUCAUUUAUAGAAAACUUGUUUUGUUCUGUUUACUUUUGCAGUGCUGGGUAUGAAAUCUAGGACCAUACACAAGCUAGGCAAACUCUUUACCGUUGAGCUGUGUCUCUAGCCCAUAGUAAUACAUUGAAUACUUUAAAUCUAUAUAAGCAUGAAAUGAGAAUUUUUCAAUCUUCCACGGGCAAAUGGGGAGGCACUUGUUCAAGCCCUUUUAUAUUAAUUAGUAAAGCUACAAUUCAAAACAGGGUUUCCUCUUUCCUAGAUAAGUUGUCCGGAACGAUUGAAAGUUUUAUUCAUGUGUUUGGAUAAGGAAAAAUAGAAAUGUAGAUGUAUGCUUAUUGAUUUCAUACUUCAGGAUCUGGAAGAUGAACAUAUUAGUUUUCUCUGAUAUUUCUACAAUG